GAGCAAGCUGUGGUCACAUGGUGCAGUAGUGACUGACAGUUACCAUGGAGACAGAGGAGCGCGCUCCCCAGCUGCUCACCUGCAUACAGAGCACACCUGUCCCCGUCUCCGGAAUGGAGCAGUGCUCUGGUAGGUCCUCGAUCCUCAUCUGUCACGCUGGCCAUCAUACCGAGAAUCAUCAGACGCCAUCUGCAGGGCUGCUCCAGGAAUGUCUCCCAUCCUCCCCCUGAAGCCACCACCAUCUCCCCGGUCGCUGUGUACUGCAGAAUAUGUGUUUACAGUUAAAUCUUACCGGCGUUGCCACCAUCUGCAUCUCUUGGCAGUGUGGGAUGAGGCCUGGCUGUGCUGCUUCUCUGGCGUACUGUAGAAAUAUGAAGAAUGUCCUUAUGAACAUACUAUUUUGGUGAUAUGUUUAUGCAAAUUCCUUAUUGUGAUGUAAACAUAUGUGGUACCUGAUGAGAAUUAAACUAAACGAUGCUUAUGCUUUUCUGCCUGA